rnacentral:rRNA from 1 species
CUAUGCGCCUUGCCAGCCCGCUCAGUCAGAGUUUGAUCCUGGCUCAGGAUGAACGCUGGCGGCGUGCCUAAUACAUGCAAGUCGAGCGGAAAGGCCUCUUCGGAGGUACUCGAGCGGCGGACGGCUGAGUAACACGUAGGAACAUACCCCAAAGUGAGGGAUAACUGCUCGAAAGAGUAGCUAAUACCGCAUGUGGUCUUCGGAUUAAAGCUUCGGCGCUUUGGGAAUGGCCUGCGCAUGAUUAGUUUGUUGGUGAGGUAAUGGCUCACCAAGACUACGAUCAUUAGCUGGUCUGAGAGGAUGAUCAGCCAGACUGGGACUGAGACACGGCCCAG